GACGAACGCUGGCGGCGUGCUUAACACAUGCAAGUCGAACGGAAAGGCCCUGCUUUUGUGGGGUGCUCGAGUGGCGAACGGGUGAGUAACACGUGAGUAACCUGCCCUUGACUUUGGGAUAACUUCAGGAAACUGGGGCUAAUCCCGGAUAGGAGCCCCUGCUGCAUGGUGGGGGUUGGAAAGUCUCGGCGGUUGGGGAUGGACUCGCGGCUUAUCAGCUUGCUGGUGGGGUAGUGGCUUACCAAGGCUUUGACGGGUAGCCGGCCUGAGAGGGUGACCGGCCACAUGGGGACUGAGAGACGGCCCAGACUCCUACGGGAGGCAGCAGUGGGGAAUAUUGCCCAAUGGGCGGAAGCCUGAUGCAGCAACGCCGCGUGCGGGAUGACGGCCUUCGGGUUGUAAACCGCUUUCGCCUGUGACGAAGCGUGAGUGACGGUAAUGGGUAAAGAAGCACCGGCUAACUACGUG
rnacentral:rRNA from 1 species